rnacentral:rRNA from 1 species
CAGUGGGGAAUAUUGGGCAAUGGAGGGAACUCUGACCCAGCGACGCCGCGUGCGGGAUGAAGGCCUUCGGGUUGUAAACCGCUUUCAGCAAGGAAGAAGCGAAAGUGACGGUACUUGCAGAAGAAGCACCGGCUAACUAUGUGCCAGCAGCCGCGGUAAUACAUAGGGUGCAAGCGUUGUCCGGAAUUAUUGGGCGUAAAGAGCUCGUAGGUGGUUCGUCACGUCGGAUGUGAAAAUCUGGGGCUUAACCCCAGACCUGCAUUCGAUACGGGCGAGCUAGAGUGUGGUAGGGGAGACUGGAAUUCCUGGUGUAGCGGUGGAAUGCGCAGAUAUCAGGAGGAACACCAAUGGCGAAGGCAGGUCUCUGGGCCAUUACUGACACUGAGGAGCGAAAGCGUGGGGAGCGAACAGGAUUAGAUACCCCUGUAGUCC